rnacentral:rRNA from 1 species
UUGGCUUAGAAGCAGCCAUCGUUUAAAGAAAGCGUAAUAGCUCACUGGUCUAAUGGCUCUGCGCCGAAAAUGUAACGGGGCUAAGCAUGGUACCGAAGCUUUGGCAAUCUCCUUUGGAGAUUGGGUAGGGGAGCGUUCGCUGCGGGCUGAAGGUGUGCCGGAAGGCAUGCUGGACUGCAGUGAAGUGAUUAUGCUGACAUGAGUAACGAUAAAAUAUGUGAAAAACAUAUUCGCCGAAAACCCGAGGUUUCCUGGGUAAAGGUAAUCUUCCCAGGGUUAGUCGGAUCCUAAGGUGAGGGUGAAAGCCGUAACCGAUGGAAAACAGGUUAAUAUUCCUGUACUUGUUGUGUAGCGCGAUGGAGGGACGCAGGAAGAUAGGCGGGCCGGGUGUUGGAUAUCCCGGUGCAAGCGUGUAGGAAUAUCCGGUAGGCAAAUCCGCCGGACGAAUCUGAGACGCGAGUCCGUGGGCGCAAGCCCUGAAGCCGUUGAGUCUAUGCUGCCUAGAAAAGCUCCUAAGUUUAUCCACAGCAAUCCGUACCGCAAACCAACUCAGGUGGGUGGGAUGAACAAUCCAAGGCGCUCGAGAGAACUCUGGCCAAGGAACUCGGCAAAAUAACCCCGUAACUUCGGAAGAAGGGGUGCUCUCUAGGGUGACAUGUUUAACAUAUGAAGCCCCGGGGAGCCGCAGUGAAUUGGUGGUGGCGACUGUUUACUAAAAACAUAGGUCUGUGCGAAGUCCUAAAGACGACGUAUACGGACUGACGCCUGCCCGGUGCUGGAAGGUUAAAAGGAGGGGUCAGCGCAAGCAAAGCUCCGAAUUGAAGCCCCAGUAAACGGCGGCCGUAACUAUAACGGUCCUAAGGUAGCGAAAUUCCUUGUCGGGUAAGUUCCGACCUGCACGAAUGGCGUAACGAUCUCCACACUGUCUCGGCCAGAGACUCGGUGAAAUUGAAGUCGCGGUGAAAAUGCCGUGUACCCGCAGAAAGACGGAAAGACCCUGUGCACCUUUACUAUAGCUUGACAUUGGAUUUUGGGCCUGCAUGUGUAGGAUAGGUGGGAGGCUGUGAACCCUGUACGCCAGUAUGGGGGGAGCCAUCCUUGAAAUACCACCCUUGCAUGUUUAAGAUCCUAACUUCUUCCGGUUAUCCCGGAGAAAGACAGUGUCUGGCGGGUAGUUUGACUGGGGCGGUCGCCUCCUAAAGUGUAACGGAGGCAUGCAAAGGUUCCCUCAGCCUGAUCGGAAACCAGGCGCUGAGUGCAAACGCAUAAGGGAGCUUGACUGUAAGAGAGACAUCUCGAACAGGAACGAAAGUUGGCGUUAGUGAUCCGGUGGUCCCGUAUGGAAGGGCCAUCGCUCAUUGGAUAAAAGGUACGCCGGGGAUAACAGGCUGAUCGCAUCCAAGA